UUCGCCCUUUUCCGGUUGAUCCUGCCGGAGGUCACUGCUAUCGGUGUCCGAUUAAGCCAUGCGAGUCGUGAGGGGUUAUGCCCUCGGCGGACUGCUCAGUAACACGUGGACAAUCUGCCCAAAGGUCCGGGAUAACCCCGGGAAACUGGGGAUAAGACCGGAUAGAUCACCUAUGCUGGAAGGCUUGGUGGUUUAAACGUGAGGCCUUUGGAUGGGUCUGCGGCGGAUUAGGUUGACGCCGGUGUAACGUACCGGCGUGCCUGUAAUCCGUACGGGUUGUGGGAGCAAGAGCCCGGAGAUGGAUUCUGAGACACGAAUCCAGGCCCUACGGGGCGCAGCAGGCGCGAAAACUCUACAAUGCAGGCAACUGCGAUAGGGGGACAUCGAGUGGCAUCCACCUUGGGUGCCUGUCCCACCGUCUAAAAAACGGUGGUUAGCAAGGGCCGGGUAAGACCGGUGCCAGCCGCCGCGGUAAUACCGGCGGCUCGAGUGGUGGCCGAUAUUAUUGAGUCUAAAGGGUCCGUAGCCGGCUUUGCAAGUCCCCUGGGAAAUCCAGCGGCUUAACCGUUGGUCGUCCAUGGGAUACUACAUUGCUUGGGACUGGGAGAGGUGGGAGGUACUCGGGGGGUAGGGGUGAAAUCCUGUAAUCCUCCGGGGACCAC
rnacentral:rRNA from 1 species